rnacentral:rRNA from 1 species
GACGAACGCUGGCGGCGUGCUUAACACAUGCAAGUCGAGCGGUAAGGCUCCUUCGGGAGUACACGAGCGGCGAACGGGUGAGUAACACGUGAGUAAUCUGCCCCUCACUUCGGGAGCAGCCUCGGAAACGAGGUCUAAUACCGGAUACGACCACUUCUCGCAUGCGAUGGUGGUGGAAAGUUUUUCGGCGGGGGAUGUGCUCGCGGCCUAUCAGCUUGUUGGUGGGGUAAUGGCCUACCAAGGCUUCGACGGGUAGCCGGCCUGAGAGGGUGACCGGCCACACUGGGACUGAGACACGGCCCAGACUCCUACGGGAGGCAGCAGUGGGGAAUAUUGGACAAUGGGCGAAAGCCUGACGCAGCGACGCCGCGUGAGGGAGGAAGGCCUUCGGGUUGUAAACCUCUUUCAGGAGGGACGAAGCUACUCGGGUGAAUAGCCCAGAGGGUGACGGUACCUCCAGAAGAAGCCCCGGCUAAC